AAAACAUCCUGAGCAUGAGAUUCUUUGGAGUUUGAACGGGAAUCUAAACGAGGAUACAAAAUAUAGAGUAGACGUAGUCAGGAUACCGUUAGGGUACCUUGGGCGACAGGAGGAAGAAGAAGGAAGAGGAAGCGGAAGUCCUGGUUGAAGGUGGGACAAGGAUGUAGCAAGUAUGAGAAGACAGUGAAGAAACUUCUUGGAGCACGCAGUUCGAUUCGAGAGCAGUGCUUUGGGUGCGGAGGAGCAACGAGCUGGCGGGAACGAAGAACUUUGUAAACUGGAAAGUUCCUGACCCCCCGUAUGUACCUGUAUCUACGUAUACAGGGUACCUACGUACAUAGUAUACAUACGUAGAUACGAUACGUAGCGAUAGGUAGAUACGUACACGAGGUCGGCACGAGCCAAUAAGGAGGAUUCCCAGGAGUUCCUGAAGAGCAAGAAGUUGUUCCAACAGCUGGCCACUAUAUACCAUACUGUUCCUGAGGAGUACUCUAGGUGGAGUAGAUUAUAUAGAUACAGGAUGGUAGUUUUAGGUUAGGUUCUAUGGGCUGGCACAUUCGUCUCCCUUGGUGUUUACGUCGAGUUUGUAAAUCCCUGUAACACCAUUCUAUUCCAAUGGGGGAAGUGCAACAAAGUUUCAAAGUUUAGGAUGAUAGAGAAUUUCGAACUUCCCAAUGACGUUUCGUCUUAAGAAGAUACUUAAGUUUGUUUGUUACUGACCAAGAGGUGAGGGUGAUGUCUGCCUAAUGGAAAUGGGUUCGCCAUCCUCGCGUUUCCAUGAGACUCUGGGGAUAGGUCUCCCCGUAACCUUACAGCUAAGAGUGGCAUUUCCUCCUUCGGAAACUGCCAAAUCAGCACUGGUGUCACUACCUUCUACGAUGUCAGGUGGAACUGUGAAUAAAGGUUUCCACCAUGCCCUCGGGGGACUGGUUAGUACCAUUCAUCCUGGUCCCUGAUGAUGUUCCAGCACUACGACCAAUCUCAUAAGAUACAGUGAUCCUGAAGUUUUGAGUGACUGUUCUGGCGUUAACUGAUAUGAUGGUAUUGUCUGAGGCGCGCAACCAGCCAAUCUGAAAAUUCAAUUGGGAUUUUCCAGUUUAUGAUAAUGAGACCACCGUCCCUGGCUACAAGAACUAAAGCAAACUCUACAGGAUGAUCCGAUAGUACGGGAGGUGGUUUCGUGGACAAAAAGAAUUAAUGAGACACGCUGACGCAUCUUUAUCAGCGCCUGCUGAACGAACAAGAGAGAGAGGAAGGAAGGAAGAAAUUGGAGUAUAAACUAGGGAGGAAUCCUAUAGGAUAGAUAGGAAGAACCAAGAGAGCAAGUAUGGCUGGCCUGGCUGAAGAUGGAUGUAUAGACAGGAUAAUGGCCAGGGACCUCCAGGCACCCGAAUGGAUCCCCUUGGACCAGGGUGAGCUUCCCAUCCAGGCCUCCUUAGAUUCCUUUCGAUCUACCUUAUCCUGGCCACCUUAUGCUACCUUCAAGAACAUUCUGGAACUUUCCACUUUUCGUAUAGACGGCAUUAACGCUCGUCGAGCCCUCUUGGGAUUUUCAGAAGCUGGAUUAGUUAGGUGGAAACGAAAAGGAGAUUUCGUAAAAAUAAAAAGCCAUGAGAAUUGACUCACCUUGUACUUGCCGACAUUGCGAACGCUGCAGGAAAAAACCACCUCGCGUCCAAUCGGCGCUGUUUGAUUACCGAUGGGCGCCUCAAACACGGGACCACCGACGGUCGGCGUCGCUUCUGGAAAAAAAAAUGAAAUUCCAAAUUACAUAAUAAGCCCAUAAUAUUAGAAUUGAUUACGCGUCGUGACGGAUCAGGAUGAUAACUAUAAGCAAACUGUACGAGGUCGAUAGACGAUGCCGGAAAUUAUGCAAAAGAGAGAAUAUAUACACGUAUAAACGAACCAGGUUACAUAUAUCAAGGUGACGACCUAAUUUCACCUUGGACAUCCAACUGACAUUCCCGUUGGCGUAACUCGCUUUAGAUUUUAUUCUUAGCUUCAAACAACUAGGUGGGUACAAUUUAAUUUACCGAGAAAUUUAAACGCUUUACAAUCCCGUAACCGUCUCUCCCCUCGCUAUUCUCUUUGGUAUCCGGAAGCGACUGGUUCUGAGAAUGUUUGCCUACGGCGGAAAUUUCUCACAGACUUCAUUAUCGUAUCGAUAUUAUGAAGGCGAUAAGUCAAUAAGUGAUUCCCAAGAGUAGAGGCUGAAUCGAAGAACACAAGAAGAAGGAAGAGGACAAGGACGUGGAAAAGGAGGACGUCUAAGGAUGUAACAGACGUCAAAGUACUUUUUAUUCCCAAAGGAAUCGACGAGGAGAAAGCAGCUUUCGAGACAAUGCGAGAUGGCUACUGUCUCCGUUGAUAAAAUCCCCGUAAGACGUACAUCACCAGAUACCGUAGGGAAGCACGGCGUCCUGGUGAAGAAAUUUUUUUUUUAUCAACCCCAAGGAAAAGUCAUUGGAAAAGUUCAGGUCAAAUCCUCUUACUUUAAGGUCUGUCCAAUUGCAAUGUGAAUCAAGCAUUCCAGUCGACGUCAGGAGAUGUGGAGCUGGUCCAGUGGAGAAAUAUAAUUCCCCAGGGGUCACCAGGGUAGACCAGGGUAAGGCUAAACGACCAACUAAAACAUGACUGCUAAAAAGAGCACCAAGGAAACGUCCAUCGCUAAGAAAGAGUAUAAUGGCCAUCAGGAUAUUAAGUCAACGUGAUACAUCCCUGGCACAAAGUCAUCGCCAAGGGGACAUCCGUCGUCGUAGUCGUCGUGAAGAAAACUGAAAGAAUGGAGAAGAAAAGAAUAAAUGGACUGGGUCCAUGAUAGCUAAGGGUGGGUAAGAACGGUUACCGAGGUUUGGUUAGUCGCGUCUGAUCCGAAAGGCAAUAUCCAAAUUGCCUCCGUGGAUUUAGCGUUCCUCAGAUAGCUCCCGUGGACAAAUCGCCGGGGGAAUAAAACGAACCGCGAGAUUAGACAGGGUCCCCUCUUCCGUCGGCUCUGCUUGCACCGGGUAGACAGGACGAGGAGGACAGGAUGAUACAGUGAAGAAGAGGUGAAGGAAGAGGACCGAGAAGAAACCCCACGACCCAAAUUCCUAAAACUCCCGCGGGAUCUAUCCUCUAGAAUAUUCCCUCAGUGGAUAUAACAGCAGCAAUAUAUAUUCCAUACGAGGAGGAGGAGGACGAGGAUGGUGGCAGCAGCCGCGGGACCAGUUUUCCCGAUCGUCCAAAUGGCAGCUGGCUAAUUAAUUCCACGGCCUUACAAUUGGCCUGAAUUAAUGAUAACGAGCUAAUUAACGUAUCGGUGAUUAUGCCGGGUGCUGCACACCUCUCCGGGUAUUAGUAAAUUGGCUAACGAGUACUCUCUGCAACUCAACACUACGUUCAACGACUGGACGACCCUUACCCUCUGCUCCUGGAAUAGCUGUUACUUUGACACAGACUGUACACUGCACCUUUGCAACACAACGUGUAAGACGAGCAUAAAAAUCGGCCUCAGGAUUCAGGAGAGACGAGCAACCGGGAGCGACGGGGACGUCGCAUUGAAAUGCACCGUGUACGUGCGCAAGGAUGACACACCGGGGAUAGAAGAGAAUAAGACAUAGAGAAUAAGAUAGAAGAGAACAAGACAAGCCAGGAAGCUGACAAUCUGGAAAAAAAGGAUGGGAGUUGUAUAAUAAGAGUAGAAGAUAUAUAAAGGGAAGAAAUAGGAGAAUAUCGAUAAACCAAGAGAUUUAACGUUAUAUUGGGACUUGUUAUUAUUAUUGCCAGCAGAACCUGGCACGUACCCAUUAUUAUUCCCCAAGCAUUCCAUGGCAAUCAAAUAUCUUUGGCUUUCUGUAUUAUAAACAUGGAAAUAAGAAUUAACUUGUGGGAAAGUUUGCGUAGGAUUGAAUACAGCUAUUUCUAAAUUUCCUAUCUGUAUAGUUAAUAUAUGUAUAUAGAUGUCAUGUACAUUCGCAGGGUGUACCGGGUUUAAUUCCAUGCUUUGGAGAGAAGAAAAAAAGAUGGUAAAUUGUCCCCCACGUCCUAACUGAUUAAAAGCUGGCGUACGACUGACAGGGACGUCCCCACUACAUUCAUUAUAUGCCAAGAGAGUCUCCCCACCACUGAAUCAAGAGGAAGUUUGAAUGGGUCCAAAGUUUUGAAAGGUGACAAUUGGAAUUCAUCCCCCUGAGGAAGAUCCGGAGGACGUCUCCGUACAUCCCAGUUAUCCGAGGAACGUAUUUUCUUGUUGAAAUCCUGGAAAACUUUAAGGAAAUUGGACGAUCGACGGAAUCGACCUAACACCAGGAGGAGCCAGUUUUAAAAUGACGACUGGGACACCCUGAAGAAGAGGUCGACUGUGGAAACUCAGUGACACACGUAUACGUACCCAGAGGGUAUUCUGUUUAUCCUGGAGACGAAACGAAUGGCCUCCUCAUUUACCGGGAGUGAAUUCAUUAUGAAAACCCUGAGCGUGCGUCUAGGAUACCUUAACUGGCGUACCCCUACUGUCUCCUGGUAGACCAUCCAUCAGACUGUUGGGGUUCGCGUGAUCAGGGAAUCGCGCUACAGGCUCCUUCAAAGGUUAUCAGAGCGGAUGGCACUGUCUCAUUCCUGUGGGACAUUCCUGGCCACCCUCUACGAUGUAGAGAUUGCAGAGAACGUUUACUCUAUAAGAACCACCCCUUGAUAUCUGCCUACUGUGACAUGCCAUGGCAUGUCUGAAGUGACGCACAGAGACAUCGGAUAACGUCGGAGCAGUUUAUUGCUCCUCAAGUUCUCAAGGGGCUCUUUGUUUCUGCAUGCUACAUCCCUGUCGCAGUAUAAACGGCUGAGGAAAAAAACGAGGGUGCUUCAGAAAGGAAGCUAGAAGAAAUAAAAAAAAUCAAUAAGAGGGGUGCUCCUAGCCGUAUAUUGACUACACGUAAAUAGUCGGACCAAUGGCUCACGCUAUUUUGAUAUUAUCUCUCUUGAGAAAUCAGAGCGAAUCUUUCUCAUUGUAAAAAUUUAUAUCCAGUCACGUAUGAGGAAGGUUUCUUUUUACGUGUUUCCAUUAUAUCUGACAGCUCGAAUUCGCGCAAUCGAUAUCUGCUAUAUCGAUUAAGAUUCGAUAUGACUCCUAGUUCAGAUAGCAGACGACUGUGCGUAUCUCGAAAUGUACGCGAAGGAACGAAGGACGUAAAUCUGAAGCUGCUCUGCCAUCAAGAUGAGAGUGAUACAACGUCAAUUGAAUCCCCGGAUGUCACGACAAGAGAAACAAUUUUUGGCAGCCUCCAAACGCCUAGGUUAUUUGAUUAAAAUCGUAAAGGAAGGGACAGGAAGACUCUGGGAGGACCGGAAGGAGGUACCUUGUAAGCAGCUCCUUCCUGGGAUAACGACCAAAUGGAAUUAGAAUGUCGACUGCUCGGCUAUGCAAACGAUCAGAAUUAAUUUGGCAUGUGAUUCGAAUCUGAUGGAAAUCAGUGUCGAGCCCACUCUCUCCGUCUCUCUCCCUCUCACUACAGAGACAACUACCACUGACUACGGUUAGACACGGUCUUCUACGCAUACCAAGAAGAGUCCCGAUACAGCUUCAGGAUCCAAAGCGGCCUCUGGCUCUCCCAGUCUCACCCUAGGACUAGUGUCCUUCGACGAGGCAACCUUUCGCUGAAGGACUCUCAUGCCUGAAAGCUGACAGCCUGCUGGCCCUGUAGGUUGGCACUCCUGUCCAGGGCACGCGCUGGAACUCUUUGAUCAAUCACUCGGACAACCCAGCCAGAAGAGUAACGACUGCAUAAAUCAGGAACCGAUUUAUUAAGCCGGUUACCGCUUAGACGACGUUCCAGGAUAUCCAGUUUCAGAGUACGUUAUUCAAGAAUAUACCUGGAUCAAACAAAGAGGGACGAUUGCUGUAAGGAGGUAUAUCUGGCAAGGAUCUUCGAGAGGACAGAAGGAUAUACCCUUGGGGAAUCCAAGCUCGGCUAGUCCGCAGGAUGGGGUACUUAUAUAACUAACUAUCCCGUAGAAUCCCUAUCGGACAGGAUCGAUGAUUUACCCGGAAAGUCUUCAAGAAGAUCACACUAAUUACAUCUCCCACGGGAUAGCAAGAACUUUCUAUUAGCAAUGGAUUUUAUUUCUAAGAAGUUAAUGGCAGUUUCCACGUCCCGUUCGGAGGAACUUACGACUUUCGACGACAAUUUUCACCACGACGUAUAUAUCGUAUCCGUAAAGCGUCUUCCUGAAGACAUCCUCGUGACACGUUUGCAGUUAAAACAUAAAUAUAAGCACCAGGGUGAACUCCGACAGGAUCUUUAUCAGUGGAAAUAUAGUAAUAUCACACGGCACAUGACUCCUUAAGUGCAGUAGAAGACUAGAACGUGUAAACACCAUCCUGAAGUUGGUACCUGGUAGACUGUGUAAAAGUGCUGAUCUAAAAACUUGAAAAGGAUCUGAACGAUUCCGAAGUCCAUACGUGCUGAAGUUAAGCAGAAUUUGAAAUUGCAGAACGACAAGGACUACGGAUGACUCUAUCCAGUUCCUGUCUGGUAAUGGGACCAACCUGACUUCACUGGCAUACUGUACCAAUGUACCAUGCUUACACAGUACCAAACGACGUACCAUCUACGGGAACCUUACACCAGGAAAAGUCAAACCAGAGUCUGAAUGGUUCGUCGAACAAGCUUCAAGACUGAAACAGCUACGUGGAAUAUCCGCAGUUGUCCCGCAGUGUGUUUUAGCGGCGUUUACCCAAGAGAUAUAGCCCAGGAUGGUCUAUGCACGUAUGCAAUGGUCUAUGCCUCAUACAGCUACUACAUGGAUACAGAAGCACCAGGUAUAGAAAUUCGCGGGAGACCGUAUACGGAUACUCGUACUGACUAAACUCAACCCCUGGCAGGAGUCGUGCUUCCUGAGGUGGGAAAGCGCAUCGGGCUACGGUCGAGGCAUGCAAAGUAUCCUUGGGGAAUUGUCCGUGACGAUGUGCACUGUGUAUCUCGGAUUCCGUAUCCAACUGCCGUAUAAGCUACAGGGUGAGUCGAUUCGAAACGCAACGAAAAAUCAAGUUGGGAAGUUGGAGGACCAAUCAGUGGAUGCUAAUCGCAGAGCGUUUAAUCCAAUAGAGUUUUGUGCUUCUAGAGUGAAAAAGGUGAGAGCGAGAGAGAUAAUAGAAGUAUUAAAAAAAAAAAGUCUCCCUAUCAGAAACGCAGGAAAGGACUCUUGAAUCUAGGGUGCGAAGUACCCUAGAAUCAUACAAUUAGCCGGGAGCACAUCCAAGCGCUUUUGAGUAUACGAUUAAAACAUAAAGGCUCCUUUCUGCACGGUACUCUUGGUAAUCAAGAGGUCCUUGUAUAUCUGUAGCGCAUUAAGUGGCUGGCAAUUGAUAGGAGAGAGAGAAGGAGAGGCAAGAGUUUAAUGAUAAGGAGAUAGUGAAAGAGCGAUGGGAAAAAAAGGAAAAAGAAGAGUACAAUGAAACUUUUAUAAAGUUAUAUAC